GUCCCUGUAGCGCAAAGGAUAGCGCGUUGGAUUUUUACUUCAAAGGUUGUGGGUUCGAAUCCCACUUGGGAUG